rnacentral:rRNA from 1 species
GAUGAACGCUGGCGGCGUGCCUAAUACAUGCAAGUCGAGCGAACGGACGAGAAGCUUGCUUCUCUGAUGUUAGCGGCGGACGGGUGAGUAACACGUGGAUAACCUACCUAUAAGACUGGGAUAACUUCGGGAAACCGGAGCUAAUACCGGAUAAUAUUUUGAACCGCAUGGUUCAAAAGUGAAAGACGGUCUUGCUGUCACUUAUAGAUGGAUCCGCGCUGCAUUAGCUAGUUGGUAAGGUAACGGCUUACCAAGGCAACGAUGCAUAGCCGACCUGAGAGGGUGAUCGGCCACACUGGAACUGAGACACGGACCAGACUCCUACGGGAGGCAGCAGUAGGGAAUCCUCCGCAAUGGGCGAAAGCCUGACGGAGCAACGCCGCGUGAGUGAUGAAGAUCUUCGGAUCGUAAAACUCUGUUAUUAGGGAAGAACAUAUGUGUAAGGAACUGUGCACAUCGUGACGGUACCUAAUCAGAAAGCCACGGCUAACUACGUG